rnacentral:rRNA from 1 species
UACGAAGGGGGCUAGCGUUGCUCGGAAUCACUGGGCGUAACGGGUGCGUAGGCGGCCGUUCAAGUCGGGGGUGAAAGCCUGUGGCUCAACCACAGAAUUGCCUUCGAUACUGGACGGCUCGAGACCGGAAGAGGUCAGUGGAACUGCGAGUGUAGAGGUGAAAUUCGUAGAUAUUCGCAAGAACACCAGUGGCGAAGGCGGCUGACUGGUCCGGUUCUGACGCUGAGGCGCGAAAAGCGUGGGGAGCAAACAGG